rnacentral:rRNA from 1 species
CUACGUGCCAGCAGCCGCGGUAAUACGGAGGGUGCGAGCGUUAAUCGGAAUAACUGGGCGUAAAGGGCACGCAGGCGGUGACUUAAGUGAGGUGUGAAAGCCCCGGGCUUAACCUGGGAAUUGCAUUUCAUACUGGGUCGCUAGAGUACUUUAGGGAGGGGUAGAAUUCCACGUGUAGCGGUGAAAUGCGUAGAGAUGUGGAGGAAUACCGAAGGCGAAGGCAGCCCCUUGGGAAUGUACUGACGCUCAUGUGCGAAAGCGUGGGGAGCAAACAGGAUUAGAUACCCUGGUAGUCCACGCUGUAAACGAUGUCGAUUUGGGGGUUGAGCUUUAAGUUUGGCGCCCGUAGCUAACGUGAUAAAUCGACCGCCUGGGGAGUACGGCCGCAAGGUUAAAACUCAAAUGAAUUGACGGGGGCCCGCACAAGCGGUGGAGCAUGUGGUUUAAUUCGAUGCAACGCGAAGAACCUUACCUACUCUUGAC